GCUGCGAUGUCCGAGUGGUUAAGGAGUUCGACUUGAAAUCCAGUGGGGUUUCCCCACGUAGGUUGGAACCCUACUCGCAGCG